CCAAAUUCAUCAAAAGUUUCAGCAAAAGCUCAAAAACGUCAGCUAAAUCAACGCUUAUCGAUGAGGUAAUUUAUAGAGAUAAUCAAGAUUCAGUUUUUGUUGAGCAAAAAGGAGUUGAAAGAUUGAAUUUUUAUCCAUAUUUUGAACCUUCAAGAAAAAAUGGCAACUGAGCCACCAAAUUUGAUUUCCUCUGACCCCACAACUCCACUUCUACACCGGCGACUCGAAAACGGCGGCAGAGGGGGUCGUCAGUCAUCACUUGCGGUACUUCUUGGUCGGGUCACCGGAAGGCGCGGUGGCGGAGGAGGUGGCGCGUCGUUGUUGGUGAGGGAGACGGCGGCGCGUGAGCUGGAUGAGCGAAGAGCUGAUUGGGGUUAUUCGAAGCCGGUGGUGGCGUUGGAUAUGAUGUGGAAUUUGGGGUUUGUGAUUGUGUCUUUUGUGAUUUUGUCAUGUGCGGUGGAUGAGUCGCCGAAUGUUCCGAUUAGGCUUUGGAUUUGUGGGUAUGCUUUGCAGUGUGUGGUGCAUGUGGUGCUUGUGUGGUUGGAAUAUAGGAGGAGGAGUUUGCAAGGAGGAACUGAUGUAGAGGGAAAUGAUGGUGAGGGUGGUGAAGAGAGGAACGGGGUUUUGGGUAUUGGUAAUCAGUCAAGUUUUGCUAAACGAUGUGAAUAUAUGAAUACAAUGGGGUCACUUCUUUGGUGGAUAAUUGGCUUUUACUGGAUAGUCUCUGGUGGUGAAAUUCUUUUACAGAAUGCUCCACAUUUAUACUGGUUGGCAGUUGUAUUUCUGGCAUUCGAUGUAUUCUUUGCCAUCUUUUGUGUUGCUUUGGCAUGUCUGAUAGGAGUUGCUCUCUGUUGCUGCUUGCCUUGCAUAAUUGCAGUACUCUAUGCAGUGGGUCAGGAAGGUGCGUCCGAGGAAGAUCUCAGAGUUCUCCCCAAGUAUAGAUUCCAUAUUUGCAAGAAUGAGGAGAAACCAAGGGUAGGUGCUGGUAGGAUGGUACCAAUUGAGACAAGCAGCGGAUACCUGGCCACUGAGCGUAUUCUUUUACCUGAAGAUGCAGAAUGUUGCAUAUGUCUUACCUCGUACGAGGAUGGGGCAGAACUCCAUGCUCUCCCCUGGGGGAUUCCAAUCUGAUGAUUAACAACAUAUAACACAGUAAUACGCGGCUCGUUACACAAAACUGUUUCUAUCUAGCUCAUCAUAAUAAUCCCCUAUAUGAAAGGGUAGAAGAAUUAUAACUCAUCCUUGUUAGGUGUGUCAUCACCCAUAAGUUCUUCAAGGGAGAACUCGUCUUCUUCGAUGAUUUCUCCAUCUUUUCCAUCCCAUGGUUCACUCUUUACAAUCGAAGGAGUAGCAGCUAAUGGAAGAUUACCUUUUCCACCGAGUCCAGCUUCUUUCACAAAGUCUAUUAUUGGCUGACGCUGGAAUGCACUCUUAAGAGGUGCAUAUACUCCCUUUUUAACAUUCAAAGCUACCAUAGCGGGAUAUCCAUAACCUCCAACACCAACAUGCUUUUCAAGAUCUGGUUGCUUACCAGCACCCACCCAAACAAAGCUGUAGGGAUUUCUCUUGAACUUCUCUGCAACGGCUAACAACAUUUCUAGGUAUUUGUUCCUUCCUUCAGCCUUGGAAUCUAAUAUAUCCGGCAGGAAUGAAACAAAGCAGAUUGCAGCAGAGUUGCAUUUCUCUUCCAUGACAUCUGGACUAGUCAACUCAACCACUUCAGGAGGUGCAACAUUUGUUUCCAGCUGCUCUAAUCCAAAGGACUCGAUGGCUGAAGCUGUCCUUGCACCUUCGUAUGUGACAGGGCUUUCCUUGUCAGCACCAAAUACCAAAAUUGUGGGGAAACCUUGGACAUUGUACCUGCUCAUCAAAGACUUCUCCGCAUCACAGUCUACGUGACCCAGCUUCACCUUACCCUGAAGGUUCUUAGCAGCUUUCUUCCACUCAGGAGCAAGCUUUUUGCAGAGAAGUCUUUGAUGAGCAGGUA
rnacentral:misc_RNA from 1 species